UCAAAGGGGGAAGAGGUAUUUACCUUUCUCUUUGCCUCUCCUUAUGUCCAUGCAACCAUUCUGUUAAAGUCUUUCCACUCAACAGCUCUGUGACCACCCAUCCAUUUGCUGGUGGAAGGAGACAUGCACCUAUUAAUCGUUGAUUUUAUGUUGUCGAUAGAGAGGAGCUCACGCUUUCUCCACCGAUAUUAUCUACUUUCCCAAGUCUCCCACCACAACUCAGAAAAAAAGAAAGAAAGAAAAAAAAAAUCUCCGCUGGCACCAGCCAAAUGCGCUUCUCUUUCUCUCUCUCACAAAAGAAACACAAUGCACUCAAACCCACAUCUACCAUCCAAAUGGUCCACCUCAUUGAUCCGCGACAUCUAAUUCAACGGUUCCCAUUUGCUCCACUGUCCAAAAUAAAACAAAGGUGUCCCACCCCUAGCCCGUGCAAACCCAGUUCGUCUCCACCCAAC
rnacentral:lncRNA from 1 species